UGCUAGUCGCACGGGUUCAGACCCGUGGCGAAUAGCUCCGUAACACGUGGCCAAACUACCCUGUGGAGGGACAUACCCUCGGGAAACUGAGGCUAAUAUCCCAUACGGCUCUCAGACUGGAAACUGUCGAGAGCCCGAAACGCUCCGGCGCCACAGGAUGUGGCUGCGGCCGAUUAGGUAGACGGUGGGGUAACGGCCCACCGUGCCGAUAAUCGGUACGGGUUGUGAGAGCAAGAGCCCGGAGACGGUAUCUGAGACAAGAUACCGGGCCCUACGGGGCGCAGCAGGCGCGAAACCUUUACACUGCACGAACGUGCGAUAAGGGGACUCCAAGUGCGAGGGCAUACAGUCCUCGCUUUUCUGUACCGUAGGGUGGUACAGGAACAAGUGCUGGGCAAGACCGGUGCCAGCCGCCGCGGUAAUACCGGCAGCACGAGUGAUGGCCGAUCUUAUUGGGCCUAAAGCGUCCGUAGCCGGUCGCGUCGGUCCGUCGGGAAAUCCCUCAGCUUAACUGAGGGGCGUCCGGCGGAAACCACGCGACUUGGGGUCGGAAGAUCCAACGGGUACGUCCGGGGUAGGAGUGAAAUCCCGU
rnacentral:rRNA from 1 species